rnacentral:rRNA from 1 species
AGAGUUUGAUCAUGGCUCAGAACGAACGCUGGCGGCAGGCUUAACACAUGCAAGUCGAACGCAUCCUUCGGGGUGAGUGGCAGACGGGUGAGUAACGCGUGGGAACGUGCCCUUCAGUUCGGGAUAACCCAGGGAAACUUGGGCUAAUACCGGAUACGUGCGAGAGCAGAAAGAUUAAUCGCUGAAGGAUCGGCCCGCGUCUGAUUAGCUAGUUGGUGGGGUAAUGGCCCACCAAGGCGACGAUCAGUAGCUGGUCUGAGAGGAUGAUCAGCCACAUUGGGACUGAGACACGGCCCAAACUCCUACGGGAGGCAGCAGUGGGGAAUAUUGGACAAUGGGCGCAAGCCUGAUCCAGCCAUGCCGCGUGAGUGAUGAAGGCCUUAGGGUUGUAAAGCUCUUUCGUCCGGGACGAUAAUGACGGUACCGGAAGAAGAAGCCCCGGCUAACUUCGUGCCAGCAGCGGCGGUAAUUC